AGAUUGAACGCUGGCGGCAGGCCUAACACAUGCAAGUCGAGCGGCAGCACGGGUACUUGUACCUGGUGGCGAGCGGCGGACGGGUGAGUAGUGCCUAGGAAUCUGCCUGGUAGUGGGGGAUAACGCUCGGAAACGGACGCUAAUACCGCAUACGUCCUACGGGAGAAAGCAGGGGACCUUCGGGCCUUGCGCUAUCAGAUGAGCCUAGGUCGGAUUAGCUAGUUGGUGAGGUAAUGGCUCACCAAGGCGACGAUCCGUAACUGGUCUGAGAGGAUGAUCAGUCACACUGGAACUGAGACACGGUCCAGACUCCUACGGGAGGCAGCAGUGGGGAAUAUUGGACAAUGGGCGAAAGCCUGAUCCAGCCAUGCCGCGUGUGUGAAGAAGGUCUUCGGAUUGUAAAGCACUUUAAGCUGGAGGAAGGCAGUUACCUAAUACGUAUCUGUUUUGACGUUACCGACAGAAUAAGCAACCGGCUAAACUCUGUG
rnacentral:rRNA from 1 species